rnacentral:rRNA from 1 species
UUAAGCGACCAAGCGUACACGGUGGAUGCCCUGGCAGUCAGAGGCGAUGAAGGACGUGCUAAUCUGCGAAAAGCGCCGGUAAGGUGAUAUGAACCGUUAUAACCGGCGAUGUCCGAAUGGGGAAACCCAGUGUGGACUCGUCACACUAUCAUUAACUGAAUCCAUAGGUUAAUGAGGCGAACCGGGGGAACUGAAACAUCUAAGUACCCCGAGGAAAAGAAAUCAACCGAGAUUCCCCCAGUAGCGGCGAGCGAACGGGGAGGAGCCCAGAGCCUGAAUCAGCAUGUGUGUUUAGUGGAAGCGUCUGGAAAGGCGCGCGAUACAGGGUGACAGCCCCGUACACAAAAGCGCAUGUGCUGUGAGCUCGAUGAGUUAGGGCGGGACACGUGGUAUCCUGUCUGAAUAUGGGGGGGACCAUCCUCCAAGGCUAAAUACUCCUGACUGACCGAUAGUGAACCAGUACCGUGAGGGAAAGGCGAAAAGAACCCCGGCGAGGGGGAGUGAAACAGAAACCUGAAACCGUGUACGUACAAGCAGUGGGAGCCCCACCACUAAGCCAGUGGUGAACUCCACAUACGCAUCCUUUGCGGAAGAUACGGUUAACGGAGCGAAAGCGACGUUCAACCGCAAAAGAAGCAGAGGGGGCUUAGUGGUGGGGUGACUGCGUACCUUUUUGUAUAAUGGGGUCAGCGACUUAUAUUCUGUAGCAAGGUUAACCGAAUAGGGGGAGCCGGAGGGAAACCGAGUCUUAAUUGGGCGUUAAGUUGCAGGGUAUAGACCCGAAACCCGGUGAUCUAGCCAUGGGCAGGUUGAAGGUUGGGUAACACUAACUGGAGGACCGAACCGGACUAAUGUUGAAAAAUUAGCGGAUGACCUGUGGCUGGGGGGUGAAAGGCCAAUCAAACCGGGAGAUAGCUGGUUCUCCCCGAAAGCUAUUUAGGUAGCGCCUCGUGAAUUCAUCUCCGGGGGUAGAGCACUGUUUUCGGCCAGGGGGCCAUCCCGGCUUACCAACCCGAUGCAAACUGCGAAUACCGGAGAAUGUUAUCACGGGAGACACACGGCGGGUGCUAACGUCCGUCGUGAAGAGGGAAACAACCCAGACCGCCAGCUAAGGUCCCAAAGUCAUGGUUAAGUGGGAAACGAUGUGGGGAAGGCCCAGACAGCCAGGAUGUUGGCUUAGAAGCAGCCAUCAUUUAAAGAAAGCGUAAUAGCUCACUGGUCGAGUCGGCCUGCGCGGAAGAUGUAACGGGGCUAAACCAUGCACCGAAGCUGCGGGCAGCGACACUAAGUGUCGUUGGGUAGGGGAGCGUUCUGUAAGCCUGCGAAGGUGGCCUGUGAGGGUUGCUGGAGGUAUCAGAAGUGCGAAUGCUGACAUAAGUAACGAUAAUGCGGGUGAAAAAACCCGCACGCCGGAAGACCAAGGGUUCCUGUCCAACGUUAAUCGGGGCAGGGUGAGUCGACCCCUAAGGCGAGGCCGAAAGGCGUAGUCGAUGGGAAACAGGUUAAUAUUCCUGUACCUGGUGUUACUGCGAAGGGGGGACGGAGAAGGCUAUGUUGGCCGGGCGACGGUUGUCCCGGUUUAAGCGUGUAGGCUGGGUUUUCCAGGCAAAUCCGGAAAAUCAAGGCUGAGGCGUGACGACGAGGCACUACGGUGGCUGAAGCAACAAAUGCCCUGCUUCCAGGAAAAGCCUCUAAGCCUCAGGUAACAUCAGAUCGUACCCGAAACCGACACAGGUGGUCAGGUAGAGAAUACCAAGGCGCUUGAGAGAACCCGGGUGAAGGAACUAGGCAAAAUGGUGCCGUAACUUCGGGAGAAGGCACGCUGACACGUAGGUGAAGCGGUUUACCCGUGGAGCUGAAGUCAGUCGAAGAUACCAGCUGGCUGCAACUGUUUUAUUAAAAACACAGCACUGUGCAAACACGAAAGUGGACGUAUACGGUGUGACGCCUGCCCGGUGCCGGAAGGUUAAUUGAUGGGGUCAGCGCAAGCGAAGCUCCUGAUCGAAGCCCCGGUAAACGGCGGCCGUAACUAUAACGGUCCUAAGGUAGCGAAAUUCCUUGUCGGGUAAGUUCCGACCUGCACGAAUGGCGUAAUGAUGGCCAGGCUGUCUCCACCCGGGACUCAGUGAAAUUGAACUCGCUGUGAAGAUGCAGUGUACCCGCGGCAAGACGGAAAGACCCCGUGAACCUUUACUAUAGCUUGACACUGAACACUGGUCCUUGAUGUGCAGGAUAGGUGGGAGGCUUUGAAGUGUGGACGCCAGUCUGCAUGGAGCCGUCCUUGAAAUACCACCCUUUAAUGGCUGGUGUUCUAACGUAGACCCGUGAACCGGGUUGCGGACAGUGUCUGGUGGGUAGUUUGACUGGGGCGGUCUCCUCCUAAAGCGUAACGGAGGAGCACGAAGGUUGGCUAAUCCUGGUCGGACAUCAGGAGGUUAGUGCAAUGGCAUAAGCCAGCUUGACUGCGAGCGUGACGGCGCGAGCAGGUGCGAAAGCAGGUCAUAGUGAUCCGGUGGUUCUGAAUGGAAGGGCCAUCGCUCAACGGAUAAAAGGUACUCCGGGGAUAACAGGCUGAUACCGCCCAAGAGUUCAUAUCGACGGCGGUGUUUGGCACCUCGAUGUCGGCUCAUCACAUCCUGGGGCUGAAGUAGGUCCCAAGGGUAUGGCUGUUCGCCAUUUAAAGUGGUACGCGAGCUGGGUUUAGAACGUCGUGAGACAGUUCGGUCCCUAUCUGCCGUGGGCGCUGGAGAACUGAGGGGGCUGCUCCUAGUACGAGAGGACCGGAGUGGACGCAUCACUGGUGUUCGGGUUGUCAUGCCAAUGGCACUGCCCGGUAGCUAAAUGCGGAAGAGAUAAGUGCUGAAAGCAUCUAAGCACGAAACUUGCCCCGAGAUGAGUUCUCCCUGAGACUACAAGUCUCCUGAAGGAACGUUGAAGACGACGACGUUGAUAGGCCGGGUGUGUAAGCGCAGCGAUGCGUUGAGCUAACCGGUACUAAUGAACCGUGAGGCUUAACCUU